GAUGAAGAACGUAGCGAAAUGCGAUAAGUAAUGUGAAUUGCAGAAUUCAGUGAAUCAUCGAAUCUUUGAACGCACCUUGCACCCUUUGGUAUUCCGAAGGGUAGGCUCGUUUGAGUGUCAUUGUACUCUCACACUUCUAAUUCCUUUCGGGAUUGGGAGCGGUGGACUUGGGUGUUGCUGCUUUAGUUGUGGCUCACCUCAAAUAAGUUAGUGCAACUCUUGGUUGGACAUAGUACGGCGUGAUAAGUGUCUUCGCCGGCGCCUCUGUAAGGAGGGUGGCCGAUCGGGAGCUCUGUGCUUCAAACCGUCUUCGGACAAUCUUUGACAACUUGACCUCAAAUCGAGUAGGACUACCCGCUGAACUUAAGCAUAUCAAUAAGCGGAGGA
rnacentral:misc_RNA from 1 species